rnacentral:rRNA from 1 species
UACAGAGGUCUCAAGCGUUGUUCGGAUUCAUUGGGCGUAAAGGGUGCGUAGGCGGUCCGAUAAGUCGGCUGUGAAAGUCAGGGGCUCAACCCUUGAAAGCCGGCCGAUACUGUCGGACUAGAGUCCGGAAGAGGCAAGUGGAAUUCCCGGUGUAGCGGUGAAAUGCGCAGAUAUCGGGAGGAACACCAAUGGCGAAGGCAGCUUGCUGGGACGGUACUGACGCUGAGGCGCGAAAGCGUGGGGAGCAAACAGG